GGGGUUGUAGCUUAGUUGGGAGAGCGUCUGCUUUGCACGCAGAAGGCCAUCGGUUCAAAUCCGAUCAACUCCA
rnacentral:tRNA from 1 species